rnacentral:rRNA from 1 species
CACCUCUUGUUACACAAAAUAUAAGAGGCCCCGCCUGCCCUGUGACAAUAAGUUUAACGGCCGCGGUAUUUUAACCGUGCGAAGGUAGCGUAAUCACUUGUCUUUUAAAUGGAGACCAGUAUGAAUGGCAUCACGAGGGCUUAACUGUCUCCCCUCUCCAGUCAAUGAAAUUGACCUUCCCGUGCAGAGGCGGGAAUAUUAAUAUAAGACGAGAAGACCCUGUGGAGCUUUAGACCUAAAAUAAACCACGUCUAGUAUACUGAAAUAUCAGCAAAAGCCUAGUGGUUACAUAUUGAAGUGUCUUUGGUUGGGGCGACCGCGGGGUAAAACACAACCCCCUUGUGGACUGGGGAUAUUAUCCCUAAUACUCAGAGCCUCUACUCCAAGUAACAGAAAUUCUGACUUUCUGAUCCGGUAUUACCGAUCAACGAACCGAGUUACCCCAGGGAUAACAGCGCAAUCCCCUCUCAGAGCCCUUAUCGACGAGGGGGUUUACGACCUCGAUGUUGGAUCAGGACAUCCUAAUGGUGCAGCCGCUAUUAAGGGUUCGUUUGUUCAACGAUUAAAGUCCU